rnacentral:tRNA from 1 species
GCCCUCUUGGCUUAGUGGUAAAGCGCAUCACUAGUAAUGAUGAGAUCGCUAGUUCGAUUCUGGCAGAGGGCA